CGGGGGAUAACACCUGGAAACAGAUGCUAAUACCGCAUAACAACUUGGACCGCAUGGUCCGAGUUUGAAAGAUGGCUUCGGCUAUCACUUUUGGAUGGUCCCGCGGCGUAUUAGCUAGAUGGUGRGGUAACGGCUCACCAUGGCAAUGAUACGUAGCCGACCUGAGAGGGUAAUCGGCCACAUUGGGACUGAGACACGGCCCAAACUCCUACGGGAGGCAGCAGUAGGGAAUCUUCCACAAUGGACGAAAGUCUGAUGGAGCAACGCCGCGUGAGUGAAGAAGGGUUUCGGCUCGUAAAACUCUGUUGUUAAAGAAGAACAUAUCUGAGAGUAACUGUUCAGGUAUUGACGGUAUUUAACCAGAAAGCCACGGCUAACUACGUGCCAGCAGCCGCGGUAAUACGUAGGUGGCAAGCGUUGUCCGGAUUUAUUGGGCGUAAAGCGAGCGCAGGCGGUUUUUUAAGUCUGAUGUGAAAGCCUUCGGCUCAACCGAAGAAGUGCAUCGGAAACUGGGAAACUUGAGUGCAGAAGAGGACAGUGGAACUCCAUGUGUAGCGGUGAAAUGCGUAGAUAUAUGGAAGAACACCAGUGGCGAAGGCGGCUGUCUGGUCUGUAACUGACGCUGAGGCUCGAAAGUAUGGGUAGCAAACAGGAUUAGAUACCCUGGUAGUCCAUACCGUAAACGAUGAAUGCUAAGUGUUGGAGGGUUUCCGCCCUUCAGUGCUGCAGCUAACGCAUUAAGCAUUCCGCCUGGGGAGUACGGCCGCAAGGCUGAAACUCAAAGGAAUUGACGGGGGCCCGCACAAGCGGUGGAGCAUGUGGUUUAAUUCGAAGCUACGCGAAGAACCUUACCAGGUCUUGACAUACUAUGCAAAUCUAAGAGAUUAGACGUUCCCUUCGGGGACAUGGAUACAGGUGGUGCAUGGUUGUCGUCAGCUCGUGUCGUGAGAUGUUGGGUUAAGUCCCGCAACGAGCGCAACCCUUAUUAUCAGUUGCCAGCAUUAAGUUGGGCACUCUGGUGAGACUGCCGGUGACAAACCGGAGGAAGGUGGGGAUGACGUCAAAUCAUCAUGCCCCUUAUGACCUGGGCUACACACGUGCUACAAUGGAUGGUACAACGAGUUGCGAACUCGCGAGAGUAAGCUAAUCUCUUAAAGCCAUUCUCAGUUCGGAUUGUAGGCUGCAACUCGCCUACAUGAAGUCGGAAUCGCUAGUAAUCGCGGAUCAGCAUGCCGC
rnacentral:rRNA from 1 species